rnacentral:tRNA from 1 species
GGGCCCUUGGUCUAGUAGCUAUGACGUCGCCUUGACUCGGCGAAGGUCCCCGGUGCAAGUCCGGGAGGGCCCA